rnacentral:rRNA from 1 species
AUGAACGCUGGCGGCGUGCCUAAUCCAUGCAAGUCGAGCGAACAGAUAAGGAGCUUGCUCCUUUGACGUUAGCGGCGGACGGGUGAGUAACACGUGGAUAACCUACCUAUAAGACUGGGAUAACUUCGGGAAACCGGAGCUAAUACCGGAUAACAUAUUGAACCGCAUGGUUCAAUAGUGAAAGGCGGCUUUGCUGUCACUUAUAGAUGGAUCCGCGCCGUAUUAGCUAGUUGGUAAGGUAACGGCUUACCAAGGCAACGAUACGUAGCCGACCUGAGAGGGUGAUCGGCCACACUGGAACUGAGACACGGUCCAGACUCCUACGGGAGGCAGCAGUAGGGAAUCUUCCGCAAUGGGCGAAAGCCUGACGGAGCAACGCCGCGUGAGUGAUGAAGGUCUUCGGAUCGUAAAACUCUGUUAUCAGGGAAGAACAAAUGUGUAAGUAACUGUGCACAUCUUGACGGUACCUGAUCAGAAAGCCACGGCUAACUACGUG